rnacentral:rRNA from 1 species
UUUGCCUACGGGACGCAGCAGUGGGGAAUAUUGCACAAUGGGGGAAACCCUGAUGCAGCGACGCCGCGUGAGUGAAGAAGUAUCUCGGUAUGUAAAGCUCUAUCAGCAGGGAAGAAAAUGACGGUACCUGACUAAGAAGCCCCGGCUAACUACGUGCCAGCAGCCGCGGUAAUACGUAGGUGGCAAGCGUUGUCCGGAUUUACUGGGUGUAAAGGGCGUGCAGCCGGGAGUGCAAGUCAGAUGUGAAAUCCCGCGGCUCAACCGCGGAACUGCAUUUGAAACUGUGCUUCUUGAGUGCUGGAGAG